rnacentral:rRNA from 1 species
AAUAGAUACCCAGGUAGUCCACGCCGUAAACGAUGGAUGCUAGCCGUUGGCAGGCUUGCCUGUCAGUGGCGCAGCUAACGCAUUAAGCAUCCCGCCUGGGGAGUACGGUCGCAAGAUUAAAACUCAAAGGAAUUGACGGGGGGCCCGCACAAGCGGUGGAGCAUGUGGUUUAAUUCGAAGCAACGCGCAGAACCUUACCAACCUUUGACAUGUCCCGUAUGAGCACCAGAGAUGGAGCUCUUCAGUUCGGCUGGCGGGAACACAGGUGCUGCAUGGCUAUCGUCAGCUCGUGUCGUGGGAUGUUGGGUUAAGUCCCGCAACGAGCGCAACCCUCGCCCUUAGUUGCCAUCAUUUAGUUGGGCACUCUAAGGGGACUGCCGGUGAUAAGCCGCGAGGAAGGUGGGGAUGACGUCAAGUCCUCAUGGCCCUUACAGGUUGGGCUACACACGUGCUACGAAUGGCGGUGACAGUGGGAUGCAAUGGGGCGACCCUGCGCAAAUCUCAAAAAGCCGUCUC